CCACCCGUUGCCAUGCCGACCACGGUCGUUAAGCCCUUCCGCGCCUAUGGUACUGCUUGGGAGACUGAGUGGGAGAGUCGGUCGUCGCUGAAC
rnacentral:rRNA from 1 species